CCUAGAUUCAUUUAUUCAUAUUAACUGUAAACAGUAAAAAUGUUGAAAAAACUGAUUUAUUUUGUUAUCUUGAGUGUGCUGAUAAGUGAAAGUUAUGCAGCCGUUGAUGGUCGUUGCGAGUGUGCAGGAUUACGAUGUGUUUGCUGCGUAGAAUUUCCUUUUAAUAACAUGACACAAAGAGCAUGUGUCAAUAUUGAUUACAACCUUGAAGAACUAAAACUGACAAUUCAGUUACUCUUCAAUAAUGAGAACGUCAUAACGCGUGUAGUUGGACCGGAUUCAUUUCCUUUAUGUGCCCCGGUACCUUCCACCCCGAUAAACUUAUGUUUGACAGCUCGUAGAGUCCAAUUGAAGCCUACAUCAGCGAAAGUAUGUCUGACAUUCAGUGUACGCGCUGGCCCUUUGACCUUGACUUCUACACCGUUGCCAUGCUUGACGUUUUCGGACGGACAAGUCGCUAUAUCACAGAAUAAAUAACUAGGCAAAAUAAGUUUAAUUAUUAACAAAAAUUGUUAAAACAGAUAAUUUUUCAGUCAAUAGAUAAUAGUCGUAUAUUCUGGAAUAUCCAACAUUUUUAUUUUUAUUGUAGUUUUACUGGCUGUCUUUAUAUGCGAUAUAGCGUCACACAUUUGUAAACAUUAAAAUAAUAGAUUUCUACAAAAUGA